AGAAUCAACGCUGGCGGCGUGCCUAACACAUGCAAGUCGAACGAGAAAGUGGAGCAAUCCAUGAGUAAAGUGGCGCACGGGUGAGUAACACGUGACUAACCUACCCUUGAGUGGGGGAUAACCUCGGGAAACCGGGGCUAAUACCGCAUAAUAUCGAGAGAUCAAAGGAGCAAUUCGCUUAAGGAGGGGGUCGCGGCUGAUUAGCUAGUUGGUAGGGUAAUGGCCUACCAAGGCUAUGAUCAGUAUCCGGCCUGAGAGGGCGCACGGACACACUGGAACUGAAACACGGUCCAGACUCCUACGGGAGGCAGCAGUGGGGAAUUUUGCGCAAUGGGGGAAACCCUGACGCAGCAACGCCGCGUGGAGGAUGAAGUCCCCUGGGACGUAAACUCCUUUCGAUCGGGACGAUAAUGACGGUACCGGAAGAAGAAGCCCCGGCUAACUUCGCGCCAGCAGCCGC
rnacentral:rRNA from 1 species